CCUACGGGGGGCAGCAGUGAGGAAUAUUGGUCAAUGGACGAGAGUCUGAACCAGCCAAGUAGCGUGAAGGAUGACUGCCCUAUGGGUUGUAAACUUCUUUUAUAUGGGAGUAAAAUGUUCCACGUGUGGGAUUUUGUAUGUACCAUAUGAAUAAGGAUAGGCUAACUCCGUGCCAGCAGCCGCGGUAAUACGGAGGAUCCGAGCGUUAUCCGGAUUUAUUGGGUUUAAAGGGAGCGUAGGUGGGAUGUUAAGUCAGUUGUGAAAGUUUGCGGCUUAACCGUAAAAUUGCAGUUGAAACUGGCAGUCUUGAGUACAGUAGAGGUGGGCGGAAUUCGUGGUGUAGCGGUGAAAUGCUUAGAUAUCACGAAGAACGCCGAUUGCGAAGGCAGUUCACUGGACUGCAACUGACACUGAGGCUCGAAAGUGUGGGUAUCAAACAGGAUUAGAUACCCGAGUAGUC
rnacentral:rRNA from 1 species